GACCCACUGUCCGUCUUGUCUCUCAGCGGGUCAGGAACACAACCCCAGGUGUCCCAGGUGAUAAUUGGGUGAACACCGACACGGGGUGUCUUUCUAAUAUCAUCAGACGCUCUACUGACUCAACGCACUCAGUGAUGUAAUUCCUGAAUAAACACGAUUUACAGGA